GCCAGAAGCAGGGUAACCAGGGGCCAGAAUACCCAGAUUGUUAAUGACCACAUCUGUUGGCAUCUCUCAGAAUGGAACCAACAAUACUGGGUUCCAGUUCAGGUGAGCCGAGGGAGCCCGGGGACACCUGGUUGUCCUCCGAUUCCAAACAUGUAAAGUCCACCAGUAAGUGAUUGUGGUGAUGAAUAGUUCUCCGAUAGGG